rnacentral:rRNA from 1 species
UGCGUAGGUGGCCUUUUAAGUUGGAUGUGAAAUACCCGGGCUUAACUUGGGGGUGCAUCCAGAACUGGGAGGCUAGAGUGCAGGAGAGGAAAGCGGAAUUCCUAGUGUAGCGGUGAAAUGCGUAGAUAUUAGGAGGAACACCAGUGGCAAAGGCGGCUUUCUGGACUGUAACUGACACUGAGGCACGAAAGCGUGGGGAGCAAACAG